CAGUGAUAAACUGGAGGAAGGUGGGGAUGACGUCAAGUCAUCAUGGCCCUUACGACCAGGGCUACACACGUGCUACAAUGGCGCAUACAAAGAGAAGCGACCUCGCGAGAGCAAGCGGACCUCAUAAAGUGCGUCGUAGUCCGGAUUGGAGUCUGCAACUCGACUCCAUGAAGUCGGAAUCGCUAGUAAUCGUGGAUCAGAAUGCCACGGUGAAUACGUUCCCGGGCCUUGUACACACCGCCCGUCACACCAUGGGAGUGGGUUGCAAAAGAAGUAGGUAGCUUAACCUUCGGGAGGG
rnacentral:rRNA from 1 species